CUUCAUGGCCGUAUGUAGCAAGGGAACACCAUGGCUAGGGUUUGUUCAUCUUCCAAGCUUCAUGGUAAGUCCGUUCUAGCCCCGUUUUUCUUGUUCUUUGUAUUUUUCGCAUCCCGAUAACUUGCUUAAGCUAUCUCUACCAUUAAUUCGAGCUAGAAUUUAUGUCUGAAAAAUUACCCAUAGAUGAAAAGUGUGAAUUUUGAUGUUUCAUGAUAGAAUAUGAAGCUUAGAAUUAUAUUAAGCAACUUUUGCUAAGCGAUUUUGAGUGAAAACGAGUAAAACGACAUAAUCGAUAAAAAUACUAAAUGUUCAUAAGUAAGUGUUAGAGUUGGAAUUUGAUGUUUCUAUAGAAGGGAAAAAUGUUCAACAUGUCAUAAUACAUAAGAAUAAGGAAUNNNNNNNNNNNNNNNNNNNNNNNNNNNNNNNNNNNNNNNNNNNNNNNNNNNNNNNNNNNNNNNNNNNNNNNNNNNNNNNNNNNNNNNNNNNNNNNNNNNNAGCUUCGGCUACGUAUCAAGGGAGGGACUGAACAGAGCCUUUCAGUGGUAGCUUCGGCUACAUAUCAGUGUGGCACUUAUGUGCUAAUUCUCUACGUAUCUAUGUAUAUUCCGAGUGUUCAACGGGAAAUUGACUAAGUGUAAUUGAAUAAUGAAUAUAGGUGUGGAACUGAAUUGAAUAUCGACUUAGAAAUGGAAAAGUGAAUUUUGAAUUGAAUUGUGAUUGAAAGUGAAAAAGUGAAAUUAUGAAAGAGUACAUUUAGCAACAAAACAGUUUAGACAGCAACAGUUGUGUGACUUUGAAAAAUCACCAAAAAUGGUGGAAAUUUAAUUAGAGGCUGAAUAAUAUAUGAAAUUGAAGAUUAAUGAGUCUAUUUUCACAUAAAAGAAAUAGAAAAAGCAAAAGAGUUAUAUAUUUUGAGAUAUUUGAAGUUUAAUUAGACAGAGUCAGAAUGAGUUUGGAAUCCCCUAUUUUGACUUUGGAAAAUUGUAAAAAAUUGUACAAAAAUAAUUAUGGGAUAAAGUUUAUAUGUUUAGAAUUAUCAGUGAAUCUAUUUUUAUUAGAAACAAACGGAAACUAUAUCCGAAUUCUGUACAGUGAGAUAAUUAAUUUUUAGUGAAGAGAGGUCAGAACUGUCAAACAGUGAAACAGGGGAAACUUUAAAAGAAUAAACUGUACUAUUUGGCUAAACCAAAAAUUAUGAAAAUUUUAUGGUAAGAAUAUAUGUGAAUCUAGUUUCGGAUAAAAUUUACGGAUCUUAAUUUGGAGUUCUGUAGCUCCGGGUAAAAAUAAUUUAGUGACUAUGACUCGAAUAGACAGCUUUGAAUAUACAUGUUAGUGAAUAGAGAAAUUAUAGUUAAUGUUGUUUAAAUGUGAUAUACACAUAAAGGAUGUGGAAUGGAGAGGAGGAGGAGGACAAUAAAAUGUAGGAAAUAAUUGUGUAUAAUGGUCAUAUGCCCGAUUAUAAUCGGUAAAUGUUAAAUUGAAUGGUAAAUACGUAUUGGUACCGAAGGAACUAUUGCGGUUUUGAAAAGCAAUUGACCAAAUGUAUAAGAAAUUUAGUCUUGAUAUAUAUAUAUGAUAAUAAUGAUAUAUGGAUGAUUAUAUCAUUGAGUUGCAUUGAUUAAUUCGGUUUAUGUCAUGGAAAUGUCAAGAACAUUUGUCUUUGAUAUGUGAUGAUCAUGGUUUAAGCUCAUAUGGGGAAAUAAAGUUUCAUAGUAUGAGAGUGUGGUAUUGAAAUAUAUAUAUUGGAUUGAGAAAUUAAUUUGAAUUGUGAACACGAAAUAUUGUGAAUUGAAUAAAAUGGAAAUGGAGCUUUGAAUUACAUAAGUAAGUAUCGGGUCUCGUAGGCCCUAUUUGUUAUGAAUAUAAUAUUUUGAGGAUAUGUUAUAAAGAAUUAUAAAAGCAUGUUAAAAAUUUGAAGAGUUUAAAUUUGAAUGAAAUUUUGUAACUCAGUUUAAUACGUUUACAUGUGUAAGUGUUCUAGUAAUGCCUCAUACCCUAUUCCGGAGUUGAAUACGGGUAAGGGGUGUUACAUUGUUACUUUGAAAAUAUGUGAUUUAUGGCAUGAAAAAGUCCUUUGAAAUGAAGGUUGUUUUCAUGUAUUUGAAUUGAAAAUGUAACAUUUGAGUUAUGUGGACGAAUGAUUUAGAUUGUGAAAUUCUUUUCACGAUAUGAAUGAAAUUCUUUUCACGAUAUGAAUGUGUAAUUAAAGCUUUACAGAAUAUAUGACUGUAUAAAAUGAUCUAUGAUUUAAUGUACGAAUAGGGAAUUUAUGAUAAGCUUGGUUAAAAUAAGACGAAGGUAUAUAGUAGUCAUAUAAUAGAUGAAUGGUGAAAUUGAAAUGCUUGAUAUAUUAUAUGCCUUGUUUUGGUUGGAUUUAUAUGUGUAUUGCUUCACCUAUUAACCUUGUGAAGUAUGAUGUAUAGGAAAAAGAAAUUUGGUUUAUGAUAAAAUGAGGUUUCUCAUGGUUGGUUAAUCUAAUGCAAUUGGUAAGUUUAAGUUAUUUUAUAUGAACUCACCAAGCAUUAGUUGCUUAUAUAGUUGAUUUUCUUGUUUUGUAGAUCAUCGAAAAGCUAGAAUGGUUGAAUAUUUGUCAGAGCACGAUCCCACUAUCCAUCGAUCAAUUUUGGUAGCUUUUGAAUAUAUUGAAAUGGUUAUAAGUGUCAUGUAUAGGGUUGUGUGUUAUUUUGGUAUAAUUUGAUUGUAAUAAGGUUUUAAGUGUUGUUUUAGUGAUUUGUUUGUUUUUGAAUGGUGCCAAGUUCAUUUUAUUUAUGUCUUUUGAUGAAGACUUGUAAGAGAUGAGUAUUCAUAUGAGAUGAUAGUAGUUAUGCAUACUCUCAUGUAAGUAGAAAGGAGAAGGUUGUUUGAUACGUUUGUGAUAUGGUCAUUUGGUAUGUAUAAUGUAUGCUAAGGGAUAGAAGUUAUAUUGUUGAAUAGGUACAAAGUCGAUUAUAAUUGUUGUACCUAUUGUUGUUACAUUGGUUAAAACAUAUAGAAUGAUUGAUUUGGUAUAUUUUGAGUAAGUUUGGACUGAGUUUUGGUCUUAUG
rnacentral:lncRNA from 1 species